UACUUCUGACAUUCUAUGCAUUUCAACUAUGGGAAACCAUUUGAAAGUCGAGCUGGGGAAUUCACUAAAUCAGUUAAGCCCAAUUAGAGGAAGCCCUACUUACUGAGUGGAAGGAAUCUCCCUUCUCUGAGAAUAUCAAAAGAGUUUCCAUCUUUGAGGUAUUUUUUAUUCAGGAGCUGCCCCCACAAUCCUGAUCAGGAAGAGGAGCAAGAAGAUAAGGGUGGAUAUGUUGAGCCUGCACCAGUUGACCUGUUUCUUCACUUACCUCAUUAAUCACCUAGUGGGAAUUUGGCCAGCUGCACCAAUGGGCAUUGAAUUCAAGUGCGCACAACUUGAGAAGCACCCAGUGGAGCAUGGAGCGAAAAAGACGGAACCUGCAGGUGGCCUCUCAGGAGAAAAUCAGCAAAGAGGUGAAGAGAAGGACUUUGAUGGGCUGGAACUGAGUAACACUCCAAAGGCAACAUGGCGCCAAAUUGCUCUCUCCUUUUUGGCUGGGUUUGAAUGAGGAUGAUGCACUGCUGUUAACCUCAUUCCUGUUUGGUCGUUAUAUGUCUUCAAAGCCAAAUAAAGGAUGCCUUUGCCAAUUGUCCCCA
rnacentral:lncRNA from 1 species